rnacentral:tRNA from 1 species
GCGGAUAUGGCGGAACUGGCAGACGCGUAGGUCUCAGACUCCUAUGGGAAACCGUGCAAGUUCAAAUCUUGUUAUCCGCACCA